UCAGACAAUCUGCCCGUCUCGGCCUCCCAAAAUGCUGGGAUUACAGGCAUGAGCCACCAUGCCUGGCCUUAUACCUUUAUUUUAAGUAUGUGUAAGAUUUAUUUUUAAAUCACUGCUGCUAUUUGACUUCUUUGGUCAUUAGCUAGGUAAGAAGGAAUAGAUGAAAUUAUAGCAGAUCAGUCUCUACAGAACUGAAAAUUAGUGAAUUUAAAAGCAUGCUAAAAUACAAAGAGAAAAAAAAUAGGACAGUGUCUUAGCCACCUAUGGGAUAAUAUCAACUAAUCUAAUAUACUUGUAUUUUGUGUCCUAGAAGUUGGAGUAGUGGAAACAAAGAUAGUAUGUUAAGAAAUAAUGGCUGAAAAGUGUCCUAGUUGAUGAAAACUAUAAGCCCACAGAUCACUAGAAAUUCAACAAACAAGAACCACCUUAUAUAUCCAAGAAAUAAAAUGACUAUGAAAGACAAAGCAACAGAAAAAAAAAAAGUCCUGAGCCAAGACCUUGUACUAAUAGAUGCACUAAAGCAAAACAAGCACACACUUGAAGAAUAAUGAAAUUAAUGGCCAAAAUAUUGACAAUGCCAUCUACAAAGAACUAUUUUGAUAGGAAUCCUCAUUUAACAAAAUAAACUCAACAAUACAUGCUCACUGAGAGUCAGAGUACAGAUCAAUAUUGAGACAAAAAUACUUCGAACAAAUCCAAAGGAUAAAUGAAAUCUGGACCCAAAGGGACCUGAACAGCCCUUAGGCCAAGGGAAGAGGAGCUCCUGCCCUGGGCCUGAAGCUUGAGGGAGCAUCCCCACCGCAAAGCCAACAUCCUCCUUUUGAGACCACAUUCCAGGACAAAGAAAAUCACAAUAGGGCAUAAAGAGGAGAGGAAUGAUAGAGGACUCGACAAGCCACUAUAAAACUAAAACAAAAACAAAAUGAAGCAAAAGCCCACUUUGCUUCACCCUGAAAUGGCUCUGCCUUCUGGUAACCCCAAAUUCGACUUUCUCUCAGGAGGAAAGCAGGAACAGCAUAUUAAUGAGGUUUCAACUUUACAUUCUUAUAAUCAGUGAGAACUGCCUAAUAUUCUCUUGAUCACACUGGGUCACCUUCCUGUGCUAUUUGUUUGUUUUAAAUGCACCAAAAGCUGCUUUGUCUACAGUUCUGAAGGUCACUGGCUCCUGGGGAGAGAGGACAGGAAAACUGAAGGAGACUUUUUGCCAUGUACUGCUUGGAAGGGUGCCUUUUCAGAUGUGAAGGGCAGUUUGGCUUCCUAAACCUAAUUAUAUGGAGUUGUUUCUAGGAGAAUGCAGCUGCCCUACUCUACUGGGCACCUGAAAGAGUUAACGUUUCCCCCAAGUCCAGACUCAAGACAACAGAGUGCUGAUGUGUACUCGGAUGCCAUGGCCAUAUUUAUGAUUUGCCAGCUGAUCCAUUUGGCUUUGUAAGUUUAAUGUUUUCGGGUUGAUAGGUGAUAAUUUUGGUUGGAUUUAUGCAUCCGAUAAUCAACUAGGAAAUAAUUCUGAUUCAAUAAGAUACAUUACACAGCAGCAUCUAUUUCAGUAAGUAACAUCUCUGGAUUGCUGUAUACUACUAGGAAAUUCAAAUUUUUUCAAGAGAGUACAUCAGAUUUUUGGGAUGGUACCAUAUAUUUAUUUCAGACUAAAAAACUUGCUGGUAAUAUAAGCUGGCUAACUCAAUUUAGUUUGUAGAAAUGUAGUUAUUUUGAGGUCUAAUUCAUGGAUAUCUUUGCUAAAAUCUGAAGUGGAAUGAAGAUGUUCACAGACUUUGAUUGAAUAAAGGAUAAACCAAUAAAAGCAAAUGUACUAUUCAAUAUUUCACUAGUAUUCUGGCUGGUUGUAGUUUAUAUAAUUUGAAGAAAACAAGCAGCCACGGUUGCAGCUACAGCCGAUUAACUGUAGCUAUUAACUUUGUAAUCACUGGUGUGGGAAGAAAUGAUUUUAGCCACAAUAGAUCCUUUACUACCCCACUUUGGUAGACACUACAGUGAAACCUUGACCAGAACCCACAGCCUCUUGAUUCCCUGCAAAAAACCUUAUUGAAUUCAGAACUGCCUCUUCCCUGAAUAGAAACCAUCACUGCUGGGUUGCCACAACGGUACCAGUGACAUUUUCAGAGGAAUAUACAAACAGAUUCAAGUUUUCAAAGAUCUAUGUAUCCUUUUCUGCUUGGAUAUCUUUAAACUUGCACAAAAGCAAAUCCAUGCAUGAGGAUACACUUUAGAAUUCAUACGAUAUUAAUAGUUAUCAAGCACUUAUUCUACGGCAAACACUUUUUAGGAAGUUUGCAUGUGUUAAGUCAUUUAAUCCUCAAGGUGGCCCCACUAAGUGGAUGCAAUUAUUAUCAUUAUCCCCAUUUUACAGCUGAGAGGAUAACUAACUUGUCUAGAUCUCAUAAACGGAGGCAGAGCUGGGCUUUAACCCUGCAUUUUGCGGCUGGAUAUGGCACUUCUAAGUGCAGUGCUACACUUUACUGCAUGUUUUGCCCUCAAAACUGUUACUGUUGAUAAAGAUGAACAUAUUCUGAAUUUUCAUGUGUGCUUGAAUUUCAUAGCAAGUAUCUAUUAUCAGGCUCUCCAGGGAAAGCAGAUAUGUUAGGAGCCAGCCUUGGAACUGGCCAAGAAACAGAGCAUAUUUCUCUGAAUGUCUCCCAUCAGUAUUCUCCUGUUUUACUGAUGUUUUAUUAGCAGUUUUCUGUUUACAUUCUUUUGUCAAAUAAUAUCUUCCCUCUGAUAGUAAAGUGCACAGAUCUCAAGUGUACAGUUUGAUGAAUUUUGACAAAUAUAUGACCCUCUAAAUCAAUAUUCCAACCAAGUUAUAGAACGUUGCCAUCACCCUAGAAAAUUCUUACCCUGGAAAGUUCUCUUCAAGGUCUAUAGCCCCUCCUCCUCAGACAAUCACUGCUCUGAUUUCUACCUUCAUAUGUUAAUUUUGCCUAUUAUUGAACACACAGUAUGUCAUAUUGGGGGGUCUAGCAUCUUUCACUCAAUAGAGUGUUUUUGAGAUUCAUUCAUGUUAUUGCAUCUACUAGUAGUUCCUUCUUUUUAUUGCUAUGUGGUAUUCCAUUUGUAUGAAAAUGCCACAACUACUUUAUCUAUCCUUUUGUUGAUGGUUAAUUUGGUUAUUUUUAAAUUAAUGAAUGAAGCAGUAAUGAACAUCCUUGUUUAAAUCUUUUUGUGGAUAUAUGUUUUCAUUUCUUGUAGGUAAAUAUCUAAGUGUGGAAUUGAUGGAUUAUGAGGUAGCUAUAUUGUGAAGAUUGUAAAACAUUCAAGUAGCUUUCCAAAGUGAUUGCAUCAAUUCACAAUUCAAUUAGCCAUGUAUGAAAGAUCCAGUUGCUCCAUGUUGUCUCCCACACUUGGUAUUGUUAACACUUUUAUUUUUCAGUUAUUCUAAUGGAUGUUUGGGUAUUCUCAUUGUAGUUUUGAUUUGCGUUUCCUUGGUGAUUAAUAAUAUUGACAAUCUUUUCAUGAGUUUUAUUAACCAUUUGUAUAUCCCUUAUUGUGAAGUAUUUAUUUAAGUAUUUUGCCCAUUUUUAAAACUUUGGUUGUUUUAUUUUAAAAUUAUUGAUUUGUAGGAGUAAUUUAUCUAUCAGGGACACAAGUCUUUUGCCAAUGCUUGUCAGAAUGGGUUUCUCAGGAAGCAGAUGGAGAGGGAAAUGUAUGAGAAGUAUUAGGGAGUGCUCUUGGGAUCAACAUCUGUAGGAAGAAGGAAGAUUUUUAAAGGGAGAAACUGGCCACCUGUGUAGUCACAACAUAGGAAAUUCUGAACCUGGUGGGCCUUCAGAAUUUUCCUAAGUUGCAGUGUAGGACCAAACAUUUACACUCUUGAGUCAAUAAGACAUUAGAGGUGGACUACCCCCAAAAGGAGGUGUAACAUCUUCAACCUAGGCAAUUCUUGAAGAGGGCUGUCAACUGAGAGCUGUCAGCCAACAAUUUUCUAAGCAGUUCAUUGCAUAAUCCUGUAGUCGUAGAGAGGGGUCUUGGAGAUGCAACAUGCACUCGCGAUGGUUAGAUACAUGUAUUGCAAAUAUUUUCCCCAAGUUUAUUCAGAUUUCAUUUUCUUUAUAGUGUCUUUCGAUAAGCAGAA